AGUCAUCAACCCCUCCCGUUUCGUGCGGGUGCGGGUUGGAGCUGGGGGCUUGCUGCCGAGAGGCGGCUCCCCUCAAAUCCGUCGGUUGGGCCUGCGGGUCGGACUCGAUUGGGCGUUGUACCAUCCUCGCUCUAACGAGAUGUUCCCCUUCUGUGCCCAUCCUCCUUUUGGAGUGGCGGUCAAACCAAACUUUGAA
rnacentral:misc_RNA from 1 species